UACGUAGGGGCAAGCGUUGUCCGGAUUUAUUGGGCGUAAAGAGCUCGUAGGUGGUUCGGUAAGUCGGAUGUGAAAUCUCCAGGCUCAACCUGGAGGGGUCAUUCGAUACUGCCGUGACUAGAGGUCGGUAGGGGAGUGUGGAAUUCCUGGUGGAGCGGUGAAAUGACGCAGAUAUCAGGAGGAACACCCGUAGCGAAGGCGGCACUCUGGGCCGAUACUGACACUGAGGAGCGAAAGCGUGGGGAGCGAACAGG
rnacentral:rRNA from 1 species